AGAGUUUGAUCCUGGCUCAGAACGAACGCUGGCGGCGUGGAUUAGGCAUGCAAGUCGAACGCGAACGUCACCUUCGGGUGGCUAGUAGAGUGGCGAACGGGUGAGUAACGCGUGAGAAACCUGCCUAGAAGUGGGGGAUAACACUCCCAACGGGGUGCUAAUACCGCAUGUGAUGUGAGUGUCUCCUGGCACACACAGGAAAGAUGGCCUCUGCUUGCAAGCUAUCGCUUCUAGAUGGUCUCGCGUCCGAUUAGCUUGUUGGUGAGGUAACGGCCCACCAAGGCGACGAUCGGUAGCUGGUCUGAGAGGAUGGUCAGCCACACUGGGACUGAGAUACGGCCCAGACUCCUACGGGAGGCAGCAGUCGAGAGGCUUUGUCAAUGGGGGAAACCCUGAACAAGCGACGCCGCGUGGGGGAUGACGGCCUUUGGGUUGUAAACCCCUUUCAGCAGGGACGAAUGUUAUGUGGGUGAAUAAUCCACGUAGUUGACGGUACCCGCAGAAGAAGCUCCGGCUAACUCCGUGCCAGCAGCCGCGGUAAUACGGGGGGAGCGAGCGUUGUUCGGAAUCACUGGGCGUAAAGGGCGUGUAGGCGGUUCGGUAAGUGAGAUGUGAAAGCCCCCGGCUCACCCGGGGAUGUGCAUUUCAUACUGCCGGACUUGAGUGCGGAAGAGGAUGGGGGAAUUCCUGGUGUAGCGGUGAAAUGCGUAGAUAUCAGGAGGAACACCGGUGGCGAAGGCGCCCAUCUGGUCCGUUACUGACGCUGAUGCGCGAAAGCUAGGGGAGCGAACGGGAUUAGAUACCCCGGUAGUCCUAGCCGUAAACGGUGGGCACUAGGUGUUGGAGGCAUCGACCCUUCCAGUGCCGCAGCUAACGCAUUAAGUGCCCCGCCUGGGGAGUACGGUCGCAAGACUGAAACUCAAAGGAAUUGACGGGGGCCCGCACUAGCGGUGGAGCAUGUGGUUCAAUUCGACGCAACCGAAGAACCUUACCCAGGCUUGACAUGCACUGGACCGGUGUAGAGACACACCUUCCCUUCGGGGCUAGUGCACAGGUGCUGCAUGGCUGUCGUCAGCUCGUGUCGUGAGAUGUUGGGUUAAGUCCCGCAACGAGCGCAACCCUUGCCCUUAGUUGCUAACGAAUAAAGUCGAGCACUCUAGGGGGACUGCCGGCGGUAAGCCGGAGGAAGGUGGGGACGACGUCAAGUCCUCAUGGCCCCUACGCCUGGGGCUACACACGUGCUACAAUGACCGACACAGAGGGCUGCGAUACCGCGAGGUGGAGCCAAUCCCAAAAAGUCGGCCUCAGUUCGGAUUGCAGUCUGCAACUCGACUGCAUGAAGGUGGAAUCGCUAGUAAUCGCUGAUCAGCAGGCAGCGGUGAAUACGUUCCCGGGCCUUGUACACACCGCCCGUCAAGCCACGAAAGUUGGCAGUACCCGAAGUCGCCGUGGUAACCCGCAAGGGAGCUAGGCGCCUAAGGUAAGGCUAGCGAUUGGGGCUAAGUCGUAACAAGGUA
rnacentral:rRNA from 1 species